rnacentral:rRNA from 1 species
CCUACGGGAGGCAGCAGUGAGGAAUCUUGGUCAAUGGGCGAGAGCCUGAACCAGCCAAGUCGCGUGAGGGAGUAAUGCCCUCUGGGUGGUAAACCUCUUUUGUCGGGGAGCAAAAUCCGGGCGUUUCCGGCUGUUAGAGUACCCGAAGAAAAAGCAUCGGCUAACUCCCUGCCAGCAGCCGCGGUAAUACUGAGGAUGCGAUCGUUAUCCGGAUUUAUUGGGUUUAAAGGGGGCGCAGGCGGAUUUGUAAGUCAGAGGUAAAUGCGUGGGGCUAAACCCCAGACAGCCGUUGAAACUGGGGAUCUAGAGUGUGCGAGAGGAAUGCGGAAUGCGUGGUGUAGCGGUGAAAUGCAUAGAUAUAGCGCAGAACCCCGAUGGCGAAGGCAGCAUACCGGUGCACAACUGACGCUGAGGCACGAAAGCGUGGGGAGCGAACAGGAUUAGAUACCCGGGUAGUC